rnacentral:rRNA from 1 species
GGCGAUGAAGGACGUGCUAAUCUGCGAUAAGCGUCGGUAAGGUGAUAUGAACCGUUAUAACCGGCGAUUUCCGAAUGGGGAAACCCAGUGUGAUUCGUCACACUAUCAUUAACUGAAUCCAUAGGUUAAUGAGGCGAACCGGGGGAACUGAAACAUCUAAGUACCCCGAGGAAAAGAAAUCAACCGAGAUUCCCCCAGUAGCGGCGAGCGAACGGGGAGCAGCCCAGAGCCUGAAUCAGUGUGUGUGUUAGUGGAAGCGUCUGGAAAGGCGCGCGAUACAGGGUGACAGCCCCGUACACAAAAAUGCACAUGCUGUGAGCUCGAUGAGUAGGGCGGGACACGUGGUAUCCUGUCUGAAUAUGGGGGGACCAUCCUCCAAGGCUAAAUACUCCUGACUGACCGAUAGUGAACCAGUACCGUGAGGGAAAGGCGAAAAGAACCCCGGCGAGGGGAGUGAAAAAGAACCUGAAACCGUGUACGUACAAGCAGUGGGAGCACGCUUAGGCGUGUGACUGCGUACCUUUUGUAUAAUGGGUCAGCGACUUAUAUUCUGUAGCAAGGUUAACCGAAUAGGGGAGCCGAAGGGAAACCGAGUCUUAACUGGGCGUUAAGUUGCAGGGUAUAGACCCGAAACCCGGUGAUCUAGCCAUGGGCAGGUUGAAGGUUGGGUAACACUAACUGGAGGACCGAACCGACUAAUGUUGAAAAAUUAGCGGAUGACUUGUGGCUGGGGGUGAAAGGCCAAUCAAACCGGGAGAUAGCUGGUUCUCCCCGAAAGCUAUUUAGGUAGCGCCUCGUGAAUUCAUCUCCGGGGGUAGAGCACUGUUUCGGCAAGGGGGUCAUCCCGACUUACCAACCCGAUGCAAACUGCGAAUACCGGAGAAUGUUAUCACGGGAGACACACGGCGGGUGCUAACGUCCGUCGUGAAGAGGGAAACAACCCAGACCGCCAGCUAAGGUCCCAAAGUCAUGGUUAAGUGGGAAACGAUGUGGGAAGGCCCAGACAGCCAGGAUGUUGGCUUAGAAGCAGCCAUCAUUUAAAGAAAGCGUAAUAGCUCACUGGUCGAGUCGGCCUGCGCGGAAGAUGUAACGGGGCUAAACCAUGCAC